CAGCCGCCACGGUAAUACAGAGGAUGCAAGCGUUAAUCGGAUUUACUGGGCGUAAAGCGUGCGUAGGCGGCUUCUUAAGUCGGAUGUGAAAUCCCUGAGCUUAACUUAGGAAUUGCAUUCGAUACUGGGAAGCUAGAGUAUGGGAGAGGAUGGUAGAAUUCCAGGUGUAGCGGUGAAAUGCGUAGAGAUCUGGAGGAAUACCGAUGGCGAAGGCAGCCAUCUGGCCUAAUACUGACGCUGAGGUACGAAAGCAUGGGGAGCAAACAGGAUUAGAUACCCGCGUAGUCCCUGUCUCUUAUAC
rnacentral:rRNA from 1 species